GGAAGAGUGAAGGAUUGUUGCAGCACAAGUUCUUGCUCUCGGUGAAGAAGAGUCCAUGAGCAGGAAAAAUGCAAAAUAAUUUGGCUUUCGAGAGACUGGCUGCAGUGGGUGAGGAGGGAACCAACAGUGCCUACAGCAGUACUCCAGAGGAUGUCAGCCAGCUCUCCAAAGAAGUACUUCGCUGAAGACCAUCCCCACUUUUAAAAAUACCUGAGCUGAACAAAUCACCUACUACAGACAGAGAUUCUAAUGAAGAACUACGAGAUAAAGUUGAAACCUGC